rnacentral:tRNA from 1 species
GGGGCUGGGGCUCAGUGGUAGAGCACUUGCUUGGCAUGCAGAAGCCCUGGGUCCAAUCCCUAGGACCCCA